rnacentral:rRNA from 1 species
GACGAACGCUGGCGGCGUGCCUAAUACAUGCAAGUAGGACGCAGUUGCGAACGGGUGAGUAACGCGUAGGUACCAACCUAUUAGAGGGGGAUAACUAUUGGAAACGUUAGCUAAUACCGCAUACUAGUUGAUGGACCUGCGUUGUAUUAGCUAGUAGGUGAGGUAAUGGCCUACCUAGGCAACGAUAAAUAGCCGACCUGAGAGGGUGAUCGACAAAACUGGGACUGAGAAACGGCACAGAAUUCUACGGUGGGAAGCAGUAGGGAAUGUUCGGGAAUGGGGGGAACCGUGACCGUGCAACGCGGCGUGAGUGAAGAAGGUUUUCGGAUCGUAGAGCUAUGUUGUUAAGGAAGCGGUACUUAACCAGAAAGGGACGGCUAACUACGUGCCAGCAGCCGCGGUAAUAC